UCCUCCUGCUCAGCCUCCUCCCCUCGCGCCGCGCUGACAGGCAGCCUCGGCGGGGAGAGUGCAGGUACUUUGCCUUCAGAAUAAUUUGCAGGACCCAAGCAAGCUUUCGGAGCGCCCUGAUUUUCUCCUGCCUCUGCCCCUCCCUCCGGCCGAGAAGAUCCCACUUUUGAAACAAACAGAACCCAAAGCAUCCUCCCCAAGCCCAAGCCCGACGGGCUGCUGUGCAUGUGCUGUCCUUUCUUGCAGUUUAUUCUGGGCCUGUGUGGAAUAGAAAGACAAUUCUUUCUCUGACUGGUAGGAAAGAAAAGAGAAGACUCCUCAGGGUUUCCAAGGAGGACCGGAGCGGCUGCUUUAGGAAAUCUUGAGGAGUUUGAUACUUUCCAACCUCCAGCCAUUAAUCAUUUUGUGGGGGAAGGCUAUAUAUUGGUAGGAAUAAAAAGCAAGCAGUUCCUGGCCCGUGCGAGUCCAGUUAGGGGUGUCUGCCUAGCAGCAUGUUGGCACCAGCAUUGAAGGAAGUGAUGGGCUUCCGCUCCAGGUGAGUUCAGUUCUCCAAGACACACGUGUGUGCAUCUUUCCAGCUCUUACCCACAGAGCUCAUAGAGUACCUCCAUCAGACCUCUUACCCUUUCAAAAUACUGGGCUACCGCAUUUCUUUAAAAGAUGGUAGUUUUGAAAUUCUAUAAUGCCAUAAAGUCAACGUGUAUUGUUUUUCUUAACUUUAAGCAAUGGAACAGGUAACUAUAAAUGGGUUUCCUUCUGAACUGAGUGUCAGAAUGCCUGAACCACAAAUAGAGUGAAAGAUGAAAUUUCAUACAGUAUUCAGGGGUGAGAAGGAAAGGCUAUUUCUAGAAGUGACCAAGAGUGAGAGCGCAGAGUUAUCAUUAAACAUUUCAAACUGACACACUGUUCUAUAGUCUUCUUAACUGUAGACACUUAAGGGCCUUACCCUUGAGGACCCAAAUUUUGUUACUUCCAGAGUCAGGUGACUAGAGCAGGCAGAUAAUCCAAUAACUCAAAAGCCUCCUUGAUUUCUGUUGUUCAAAUUACAAGAGAUGAAACCUAAGGGUCACAUAUUUCCUUUUGCUGCACAGAUUUCAAUUGUGAUCCUCCUUGAGUCUGUAU